rnacentral:rRNA from 1 species
GAUGAACGCUGGCGGCGUGCCUAAUACAUGCAAGUCGAGCGAAGCGGGGACGGGUGAGUAACACGUGGAUAACCUCCUAUAAGACUGGGAUAACUUCGGGGAACCGGAGCUAAACCGGAUAAUAAUAGAUGGAUCCGCGCGGCAUUAGCUAGAUGGUAAGGUAACGGAUUACAAAGGCAACGAUGCGUAGCCGACCUGAGAGGGUGAUCGGCCACACUGGAACUGUGACACGUUCCAGACUCCUACGGGAGGCAGCAGUAGGGAAUCUUCCGCAAUGGGCGAAAGCCUGACGGAGCAACGCCGCGUGAGUGAUGAAGGUCUUCGGAUCGUAAAACUCUGUUAGUAGGGAAGCGGUACCUAAACAGAAAGCCACGGCUAACUUCGUGCCAGCAGCCGCGGUAAUAC